rnacentral:tRNA from 1 species
GGGGAUGUAGCUCAGUGGUGCAGCACCUGCCUGAUAAGUUUGAGGCCCUGAGUUCAAUUCUCAGUACCA